UGGUUCUGGCAUNGAUGAAGAACGCAGCGAAAUGCGAUAAGUAAUGUGAAUUGCAGAAAUCAGUGAAUCAUCGAAUCUUUGAACGCACAUUGCACCUUUUGGCAUUCCGAAAGGUACGCCUGUUCGAACGUCAUUUAAACCUCAAGCUCUGCUUGGUCUUGACGCCUGCGUCGCAGCGUCGCAACACAUUGGCUCGACCCCCCAGGCUCAGACGAACACACUCGUUUCGUCUGGCGGGCAAGAGUUUGUUAAAAAACCACUUUUGACUUCGGAUCAGGCGAGGAUACCCGCUGA
rnacentral:misc_RNA from 1 species